rnacentral:rRNA from 1 species
CGCCCGCCCCCGCCCCCCCCCCCGUCCCGGCGAGGCCGCAGUGUGGAAGAGGCGGCAAUGGGGAAUAUUGCACAACGGCCGAAAGUCUGAAGCAGCAACGCCGCUUGGAGGAUUACACUUUUUGGUGCGUAAAAUCCUUUUAUAUGAGAAGAUAAUGACGGUAUUAUAUGAAUAAGCACCGGCUAAUUCCGUGCCAGCAGCCGCGGUAAUACGGGGGGUGCAAGCGUUAUUUGGAAUCAUUGGGGGUAAAGAGCAUGUAGGCGGAUUAAUAAGUUUGAAGUGAAAAAGUAUAGCUUAAAAAUAGAAAUGCUUUGAAAACUGUUAAUCUAGAAAGUGGGAGAGGUAGAUGGAAUUUCUGGUGUAGGGGUAAAAUCCGUAGAGAUCAGAAGGAAUACCGCUUGCGAAGGCGAUCUACUGGAACAUUAUUGACGCUGAGAUGCGAAAGCGUGGGGGGCAAACACGAUUAGAUACCCCGGUAGUCCACGCCCUAAAAGAUGUACAUUAGUUGUUGUGAGACUUGACUUCAGUAACGCACUAACGCAUAAGAUACCGCCUGGAGACC